AAAAAUUUAGUUAAAAUAUAACAUUAACUUGUCAAGUUAAAAUUAUUAAUUAUAAUAAUUUUUA
rnacentral:tRNA from 1 species